UACCUUAGAAACCGCGUUGCAUUUUCAUUUCAAGAGUUACUAGGGAACAUAGUAAAUCUAGGUCACCGAUAUUGACCUCUUUCAAAAGUAACAGUUGUGAUCACUGUAAUUAUUAACAAUAAUAUAAAUCCACUUAGUUGCUUUUCAGAAUUUAUAGCAUGCUCUCAAGAGCUAGCAUCUCAGGGUCAGGGUCAGGGUCAGGGUCAGGGUCAGGGUAUCCUGAUGGCAGUAUAUGUCAGAAAGAUGGCACCUUGUCUCUUUUCCAAAGAUGGGUCUGAAUCCUUCAGCCGUUUCUCCAGAUACCUCUGUCAUCUAGAUAGGUGGACCCAGGUAAAAGCUACCGGGCAAUGGUGGGCAGGGUGGGAAGGGAUGGUAAAUGGCCAGGAGAGGUGAAUGGCAGAGCUCAGCUACUUCCCAGGCGGAGUAGGAGGCACUCAGACGAGUCACCU
rnacentral:lncRNA from 1 species